CAGACUACAACAGUUUGUUGGCUUGCUUCGGACAGUCUUUCGCUGUGCUAUACUAUUUGUGAAGAGGUAAAGACAUAUGAUAAGCAAAGAGGGAUAAAAUGAUUCCACAUACUGGGUAUUAUUUGAACUGAUAUGGAGGGACUACUUCAGAUUUCUUUUCAUUAAAAUAUG